GUCCUAGCCGUAAACGUUGGAUGCUAGGUGUGGGGGGACAUCGACCCCUUCCGUGCCGAAGCUAACGCAUUAAGCAUCCCGCCUGGGGAGUACGGCCGCAAGGCUAAAACUCAAAGGAAUUGACGGGGGCCCGCACAAGCGGCGGAGCAUGUGGCUUAAUUCGAUGCAACGCGAAGAACCUUACCUGGGCUUGACAUGCGGGGUGAAACCGUGGAAACACGGCGCUCUUCGGAGCCCGCACAGGUGGUGCAUGGCUGUCGU
rnacentral:rRNA from 1 species